AUACAGAUAUGGGCGUACGAGGAUAUCAGGCGCCUGCUCCAUGCGUAACGGCCUCUGAUUCUCCCCCGUGCGUACGCUCGAGCAGAUCUGCCAGGCUGUAUGACGAGUCUCGUUCUGGAUCCUGGGCUGGGCCGAGAGCUGGGCUGGACGCGGAACCCAGGAGGAGAAGGAAUCCGUGGGGAGGUUAUACGGGCUGGGCCGAUCUCGAUGGGGAAGAAUCUGGUGGAGUCCAGCCUCAGG
rnacentral:lncRNA from 1 species